AUUUUUGUGUAUAAUAAUUUUAAAAUUACAUAAAUAUUAAUACUUUAACUAAAUAUUCUUACAUUUAUUCUGAAACUUAUAAAGUGGAUAAUAAUUUUGGUAAGCAAAUGCUUCCCUACACAAAUAUUGUAUGUAGAUAACAAGAAACCCAAGCAGAAAGACCAAGGAGGAUAACUAUUUUUCAGAUCAUUUUCAGGCACAUAACACCUGCCAUCUCCCAAGCACAUCAGACAUAGACUUUAGAGAUGAAAUAAGUGCACUUCACAGAUACCUAGACUCUGGUAGUUGGUUAAAAGUGUGCCGCUCUUCUUCCUUUUCUGACCACCUGAUAUGACAGACAGUUUGUUUCAGUCCAUAAUCAGCUGGUUCCAAGGGAGGUGGCCUGACUGAGGGGCAACAGUUCAAGGCUGCAGAAGACAACAAAGCAACAACAGCAAAAAGGGGAGAACAAACCUCUUUUCCUCUCUUACACUGUAUGCAUGCUCUCCACCUUCUGCUGGUCUAACUACAUCCUUUGCCCCUCUCUUGCACAGUCUCAGAACUUUUCCCAAGUGAGGACCCUGAACCCCUGCUGAGUCCCUUAAACUUCUAAACUUUUCAAAUUGACACAGACAAUAUCCUAGAGCCCUAAGGGCAUGUCCUCUACACUGUAGAAUGUAGAAGUGCUGAGUUAUCCAUAUAAGCUGCUAAAUUUCUCUAGUCGACGCACUGCAAGGUUUUGGGGAGCAAGAGAGACCCACGGAACAUUUGCUGUUAGUGAAUUUUGCUGGAUUGACAUACCUGGUUGAAAUUAUUGUAAGUAUUGGCUCCUACUGGCUUCUCCUCAUUCUUUUUUCAGUUGGUGGUGACAUUUUAAUCACAUGGUAGAAUGGAAGUCAUAGACAAAGCAUUCGUGUGCCCUUUUUUUCCACUUAUUGCCUUCUGGGAGAUGUGUGGAUGAUGUCUGGUAGAUGAAAUCUCCAUUCCCUCCUCAAAUACAUCCUGAAAUCCGAGGAGGGAAAAAGCAAAUAGUUUAAAAAAAUUCAUUCUUUAAUGUUUGUCCUUACGUUCUCUCUCUAACUUUGUCUCCAUCUAGGAAUACCAGGUUGAAUCAAUAAUCAAAAUUGCUACACAUAUUUUUUGUGAGUGGAACAUCUAUACUUGUGUGAGCUGUUCACUGAGAAUGUGUAACCCACAGGACAGGCUGAGAGGUCAGCUAGGAAACAGCAGAAGACAGAAGACAAGACUGCAGUGAUAGAAAAAGGUGAUAAUCAAGCCAAAUGCAACAGCACUGCGUGCUGUCGGGCAACAGCAAAGGAUCCCUGUGCACGCAAAAAGAAAGUUGCACAAUAUGAAGGAAGCAGUAAGAAUGAAAUGAAGUAGAAGAGACAUGCAGAAAGAAAAAUGCUCUCGGAUAUGUCACAAUCAUCUUGAUUCUUUACCUGGAAAACCUGUAUUUUUUCCUUUGUAAUUAUCUAAUAUACUUUGUGUCAAAGAACAAGGACCUGAGUUCCACUUAAAGAAGAUAAAGAAGUUAACAGAUACCGUUCUCAGGUUUUAUCAUGAAAUUAGAAAUGAAAAUUUUCAGUUUCUGGUAGUCAUGAACAGAGAGCCUCAGGUAAGCCCGAGAGUGCAGGCAGACAGUCAGGAUGUUCCUGCGCAGGCUCCUCAGGUGCAGCUGUGCUGGGGGGAAAAAUCAUGCUGUUUAGCCUAAUGAGGCAGAACAGAAUAAAGGCCAAGGUAAUUCAGUAGAGAGGGUCUUAAAUGCACAGCUGUAUCAGCUGCUGCCUCCUUCCCACCUGGUCUUCAUUUUUUCUCUGUGUAAUCUGUUUGCUUCCCUACUGGGCCUGCUAACAUUAUCUGAUUCCAGGCCAAACUGAUAAUAUUUGUUAUGAGGCCCGCCAAAAUUAAUAAAAUUUGAGUUUGUCAUCUUGGUGUUCCCUGAACUAAAGUUAACUACCUGUGUCAAAUCCUAAAGUACACUUGUUACACCAGCAUCAGGCUAAGACGUAAAUCUCCAUUUGAACUACGGAACAGCUGCACUCCUCUUGAAACUCUACAUGCACAGAGAGAUGUAUGUUUGUAAGUGGAUACAAUAGACGGAGUGCUUGUUGGUGUUUUAAAAGCCAAACCUGGAAUACUUUUCUUUUGACUUUACAUAUGGAGAAAAUUACGGUGUAAAAUGUAGACAAGAAUAAAAUAAUACCAAGAUGAGUAAGUCCAUUAAAAAUGUAGAUGAGCAAAUGACUUUAGCGUUAUUAAUGCUGACUGGGAAUUUGGCCAAAUGAGCAUGUAUAUACUGGGGACCAAUUAAAAGGCUUACCAUUUUAAUCACUGGCAGAACUGGACAUUCAGUGUUUUCCUGGAUGACAAGAACUUUCUUUUGUUGUUUUUUCAGUUUGGCUUUGUUUUGGUCUAGUGAACUGCACCAGAGUGUCCUCAGUGUAGAGAAGAUAACAAUACACUGCCACAGUGUUAGUAACAAUAUCUUGUUACUAACAUUUAGUAACAGUAUCUCAGAGUCUCUCCACAGCUUGAGGGAAAACAUUGCUGCCAUUCUACCCUGAGGAAAAUCUACAGUAACAGAAUGUUUCCAGAAGUAGAAACAUCCUACCAGUCGGGAACCUCCACGUGGACCUGACCUCUCAGCUUUCCCUGACUCCCCACCAGGGCAGCUGCUGUAUAGGAUCCGCUGUAACAUACCAACGGCGGUGCAGUGCGUUGGGGCUGGACUCAUGGAGAAUGUCCUGGAGCUUCCCAAGAAGACCCCUCCAGCAUUACUAGGCAAAAAGAUGGAUCAGGAAUACCUUCCUAAGCCCCGGGAACAGUUCCUCCUGAAAUAAUUAAAUAGACACACAUCUUUCAGCUUUGAUUUUUUUUUUUAAUCAGCCUGAAAAGACCAGCUUUCAGAUUCCCGAAGAAAUUGCAAACACAUCUUUUAAAAAAAAAAAAAUUAUGGGGAUCAAACUCAAAGACCCUCUACAUUGAGUUGCACGAUGGUCCAUUCAUCAUGUAUCCUGUCUGCAUACCUUGGUGCUGUGAACUGUACCAUCCUGCAAGUGUCCAUGCUACUUCUGAUGGCAAGGAUGGUGCUGGUGACAAUGGUCAGCGUCAUCAGUGGUGUCCAGUUUCCAGUCUGGCGCCUUUCCCAGGCUUUUCCAGGCUAUUGGCACACAUUUCAUUCCUGGAGAUGAUUAGAAUAUGGUGUUUCUAAAAACAGAAGGACUUAUCUUUCCUCCUCUACUUUGCAACUAAGAUUAGAUUAGAUGUAGUUGUCACCUGUGGACAUCAAGUGUGGAAGAUCCUUGGAAUUACGCUUUCCACCAUUUGAUCUCAAUUCUGAGUUAGUAGACAAGUGGUGAAGAUUCAUUUCCUAUGACCUCACUCUGCCAAUUUCAAAGUUGUUCCAGUUAAUGCUUCCAGAACUAUAUUAAACAGGAUUCCUGGCAGUGGACACCCUUGUCUUGUUCCUCAUUUCACAGGAAUUCUUUCAGUUCUUGACCAUUUAGUAUGCUGUUGGUUUGGCUGUUGGUUUCUCAUAGAUCUCAUAAAUGUUGUAUCAGAUAAAGAUUAUCUAUACCAACUUUUUGUUGUUUUUCCCAUGUUUGCAUAUUUGACUUGUCAAAUGCUUUUUAUGCAUGUGUUGAGAUGAUCAUGCCAUUUUUGUCCUUAGCUGUGUUAAUAUUGUGUAUUAAAUUUGUUAAUAUACUUAUUUUCAACCAUCCUGCAUCCCCUGGAUGAUCCUUGCUUGUUCUGUGUAAUCUUGAUGAUUUGCUGUAUUCUGUUUGCCAAUAUCUUAUGAGGAUUUUUACAUCUAUAUUCAUUUGGAAGAUUUGCCCGUAUCUCUGUUUCUUCAUUAGGUCCUUCACUGGUUUUGGUUUCAUGGUGAUGCUUAUUUCCAAGAAUGAAUUUGGGAGAGUAGAUUCACUUUGAAUUUCAUUAAAGAGUUGCAUGUCUCUGAAAUGUUAUUUAAUUUGCAUGUUUUUAAGUAGUUUUAUUGGUUUCUUUUGCCAGUGAUUGCCAAUUUCAUUGCACUAUGAUCAGACAAUAUGCAUGGAAUAAUUUCAGUUCCUUUAAAUUUACUCAAGCUUGUUUUAUGUACCAAUAUAUGUUCUCUUUUAGAGAAAGUUCUGAAUGCAUCUGAAAAAAUAUGUAUUCUGAUGUUGUGGGAUACAACACUCUGCAGAUUCACUAAUCAUGACCUUUAUUAUGGUCAUCAUCUCUGAAGUGAAACUGAGUUAUUCACCAGGCACAGCAGUUUGCAGCGUCCAUUGUUCCAUUCUGCUGGUGUGUUUCUCUUUGGAGCCCUCUGUAGUCACCAGUAGUCAAUGUACCUCUACAGGUUUGAGCCACCCCUCCCACACUACAGCUCAGAGAGAAAGUGCCACUCCUCACUUCCCAUGUCUGCACUUGGUCCCUCUCCUUUCUCUCUCUGCGGGCCCUAAUUCUCACCUUAGAUACUUGCUCAGUCCUGGGAAGCCACUUCUCUCUUCUUCCCCUUGCGCUCUUCUAGCAUCUGGAUUCCAAAUAUCAGAGAAGAUGUGUCACCAUCCUCCUGCCAUCCCAGAAGGCCUGCUUGCUUCUUUAAUCCUAUAUUAAACUAAACUAUAACACAACAAUUCAUAAACUACUUUCUUUGUUUUCAGAAUAGUCAAAUACUCACAGGUGCAUUUAUUUUAAUAUCUUAUGGAUUUGUGGAUUUAUCAUCAUUACUUUUGAAGCUUAAAGUUUGUAAUAUGUAUAUUAGUGAUAAAUGGUACACUUUUUAAGUUCUUAUCUAUCAGCUGUGUGGUGGGGGUAAUGCAAGAACAACUUUUAUACAAAACAUCAGAACAUUUAGCACUCCUUUUAGUGGUUUAUAACCCUGGUUUUAAUGAUCUUUGCAACACGCUGAAAACAAAUUGAUAGCACAUUAACUUUAGUGUGGUAAGAUAACUUCAUUUGAUAACAGACACAAUGAGAACAUACGUCAUGGGAGACUUUCACUAAGUGAAAUAUAAAUAAUUUUGAAAAAUAGUAUUAUUUUCACAGAAAUGUAGGAUGAUUUUAUAGUGGCAAACUUAUUUAACUUAUUUCUGGUUUUCUUAGCCAUUUACAUACCAUAUAAUAAGGUACAUUUAAGUGCUAGUGUAACUCAUAAUUUUCAUGGAAUCACAUCAUAUAUUUUUCAUGCAACACAAGCAAAUUCUUUAUUAUCCAGUUUUUAUUGAUACCAAUGCAUUGCUUUUAUAAUACCACUUCUGUUCUAAAUAUAUUUCUUUAUAACAGUUAAAAUGUGCUUUAAAAUGUGGAAUAUCCAUUUAGCUUUAAUCUUUUUUUAAUUGAAAGUAUGUGAAAUAUAAAAUAACAAAAUGGAAUAUAUCUUUGAAAUUGUCCUUUUUCUUUCUUAACAUAAAAAGCACUCAAAUGUAUAACUAUUGAUUAUCUAAAUAGCUUUAAGAACAUAUUAAAACACAAAAAUCUAGAGGAAUAUAUAAAUAAUGACAACUAUUUUGCAAAGUUGUAAAUUUGAUGGCAAGUAUUAGAUUUUAUUGGGUAAUUCUUUUUGAAUGAAUGGAUAAAAGCAUGCAUAUAUUAAACAAUUUAAGAACAUUAUUACAGAACUCUUGUAUUAUAUAUCUAAUUCCUUAAAACUGUUGCAAAUGUUUUCAAACAUGCAUUAGCACAAUAUGAUUUAAAGUAACAUAGGGCUAUAAGUUUAAAUAUUUCUAAAUUAUUAUAUGUAUGUCUAAUUGUAUAAUUCUUAUAAAUAAAAACCAAAAACCAAACAAACACCUUUUGAGGGAAUACGUCCAAGCUUCCUUCUUUCACUUUCUCUCCCUUUACUCAGCCUAUUCUCUGUCUUAUUUCUUCUCACCAGUCUGCCAUCUCUUGUCUUUCACUGGAAUGUGUGAAGCUUGUACUUUGUGUGUGAGCUUUCCACUAGUGCUCAGAUAUUCUCACUAGUCAUACACCAUGGAUGGAACAGUUCUAGAGGUGAAUCUACAGAUCUCUCACUUCCACAUAAAAACUUUCUUAGCCCUGCUAUGCAAAAUUAAGACUUGCUAUUUCAACCACACAUAUUAAAGUGUCUGGUCUAGUUCUCCAUAUUACCUAUUUUCCCUUUAAAUAUUGAAAAUUUUACCAUGAUAUUUUUUCAUACCAUUUAUUUUGCUUUUAUGCACAGUGAUAUUUGCUUGUUAUUCACCUUUAUUGCUUAUCUUUUUGUCUGAAUGUAAGUCUGUAGAAGAAUGUUUAAUAUGAAACAGAAUAGCAGAAAUAUCAAAUAAAGUAUCUGUAACAUAAUGACACUCAGAUAACUGUCAAGUGAAUAACAAUAAAUCCAAGAGAAACAUAAGUUACAGUUAAAGUUUAUAUUCAAUAGUAAGUAAUGAAAUUGUCAUUAUAGACUAGGAUUUUCUUAUAUUAAGGACCUGAUGUGACUGAACUAAGCUGUAUACCACAUCAAACAUCCUCACUAAUACUGAAUAUAUUUUCAGACUCAGAUGAACAUGCUUCCUGUGCAUUCAUUUUUAAUGGUAGUAAUAUUAUGAAAAAUCUACAUAUUUGGAAAACUGUAGGUGCACAAGCCAUCCAUUUCAAUGUAUUUUGCGCUAUCAGUUGAGCAACUAGAUGUUUUCUUUCAUCAAAUAGAAGUUAUCAAACACUUGAAUCAUGGAUCAACAGAUAUUAAAUUAUUUUCUGUGGAAACAACUCCAUAGUUUAUUUGGAGAUAUCCAAUCUAUUUCAAUUGUAUUUAUGGCAGAUAUGAAGAAAAAUCUUUUUGAUAUACAUUUCAAAAAUACCAUUCAUAUAUUAUAAUAUAUUAUAAUAUUCAUAUGUUACUGUAUUGAUAUGGUAGUGAAAAAAGAAAUUUUUGAGCAUAAGACUUAAAAUAGGAUGAUGUAGUCAGAAAUUUGUAAGCAUUUUAAUUAAAUGAGUUAUGUUAUUAUUUGCAAUGGAAGAUCAAGUGAUUUAUCUUUGUAGCAGAUGCAUCUUGAGUUUUUCAACAUGAGAAGAUGAGGAAUGGAUAGGCAGAGCUGAUACAAAUACAGUACUGUUGACAAAUUUUUUCAUUUACACUGCAUGUAUUUAUAUCUGAGAGGUUUUAUGGGUGCCUUUUUGCCAAAUAUGAACAUGCUAAUUAGAAUUAAACUGUAAAGAACAUUUUUUGAAAGGUAAAUUCAAUACAUUUUAUGUAAAAUAAA